CCUACGGGAGGCAGCAGUGAGGAAUAUUGGUCAAUGGGCGCGAGCCUGAACCAGCCAAGUCGCGUGAGGGAAGACGGCCCUACGGGUUGUAAACCUCUUUUGCCGGGGAGCAACGGGCGCCACGUGUGGCGCCACGGGGAGUACCCGGAGAAAAAGCAUCGGCUCACGCCGUCCCAGCAGCCGCGGUAAUACGGAGGAUGCGAGCGUUAUCCGGAUUUAUUGGGGUUAAAGGGUGCGUAGGCGGAGCGUUAAGUCAGUGGUCACAUUGAGGGGCUCAACCCCUGCCCGCCAUUGAAACUGGCGCUCUUGAGUGGAAGAGAAGUAUGCGGAAUGCGUGGUGUAGCGGUGAAAUGCAUAGAUAUCACGCAGAACCCCGAUGGCGAAGGCAGCAUGCCGGCUUCCUACUGACGCUGAGGCACGAAAGCGUGGGGAUCGAACAGGAUUAGAUACCCUGGUAGUC
rnacentral:rRNA from 1 species